CAUGGCAACCGGCAUAAACCGUGUGCAGUUUUUCAUUUAUGUUCUAUGCAUUGUUUAUGUUUUGUGUUCAGGAGGAGCAGCAGGGUAUAUAAUACCUCCUCCAAGCGUUCAUUGCAUUCCCAGAAUGUCAUGUCCAAGUAACAUACAAAUGUGUCUUGAUUAUUGUGAAGAAAGGGGCUUCUCCACUGGUAUUGGUAAAUGUGUAAGAGAGGAUUUAUGUUGUUGCAUCAGAUAAUUGUAGUACCUUGUCAAAGUAUAUCUUCACACAGUCUUUUUGACUGGUGGAAAAUAAAUACAAUGAUUCAGUUUUAAAUCAUA